GAACUACCAUUUGAUCCAGCAAUCCCACUACUGGGUAAUGGGAUUCCCUCUACUCAGAGGUAGCAGCUAGGAUUACCUAGAUUUACUUUUAGGAAAGACUUCUCUGCAAGGAAUGUGGAGAAUGGGUUGGAGGAGGCAAGAAGAGGAAGGAAGACAAGUGAGAAUACAUGUGUUGGAAUCAACUGAGUGAGGGCUGGCAGUCAGGUCAUUGAUGAGGGCCAGACCAAUUUGGGAGAAAGUGGAUGAAAGAAGACUCAGGCCAGCCCCGC
rnacentral:lncRNA from 10 species